rnacentral:lncRNA from 10 species
CAGAUUGCCAAAUGGCAGUCUGGGGAGGCUAUUUGGGACUUUAUUUUGGAAGGGCCCUCAAAGUAGGGGCCUUAUUCUUUUAUUAUUGCUGCUGUUUUGUUUCAGUUUUCAAGCAGGUCUGGCUGGCGAGCAGCAGAAGGGAGCCGGCUGUUAAAGGGGCAGCUCUGAGGGCCAGGGCGGAUGUCCAAAGAUGCUCUUGACAUUGUACAAUUAAACAAUUAAGACGCUAUGGCCAUGGCUCCCACUUAAGCCAGGGACCUUGGUGCACCAAGUUUUCAGAGGCUAUGGGAUAGCAGCAACUGUCAUUUCAUCAAAGAUUUUUUUAAUACAUAUGUUUAACAUUUUUUGCCUCCAACUAAGUGCAAUCUUCAGUUAUGCCUGGGUGCUGCCAAGAAGCUAACUGAUAGUCACCCAGAUAACUGAAAAAUGAAGUGCUGCAGCCUCUAAGCCAAGGCAAAAGGAAUCCACUUAACAGGGAUUUACAGUGCAAUGUACUCGGCUAAACAAGAUGAAGAUACAAAAAUGGUUAUUUCUCUACAUCUAUUCUGAAAUGGCCUACAUCCUACACUACUACAAUGGAAACUAAAAAGAACAGAUUUAAGCUGGCAAACUCUCUAAUAGUUUUACAAGAAGAUUGUGGUUUAGGACCUUGUUGAGUUAAGCAUUAGUAUCCUCUAUCGGAAGGUCAUGAACUCUUAUCACAUUCUGCGAAAUUUUACCCACAGACCAACUCACCCCUCAGCCCUUGAAUUUCCUGUGGGCAUGUUUGCCGUGAAAGUAAACUUUAACUGAUGGGCAGAAUUUGUGUUGUUGGAUUUUUUUUUGUUGGGGGGGGUGAGGGAGAAGGUAGUAUUAAAAAUAAAAUUUAAAGGCAGCUGAGCAAUUUGAAUUUCAAAACAUGGAAUCAGCAUCCUGCAAUGGUAUUUAGAGAUUGGUGGUAUUAAUGAGGAUGGUAAUGAUUUAAUCAGGAUAAUUAUACUUUCAGGCUCAACAUCCUUCUUAAUCAUUUUUGAAUUUCUGCCUAGUGUAAUGUUCCACACCCGUUUUAAGAGGAAAUGCCAAGUAAUAAGAGAUAAUUGUGUAUUGAGAGAGGGGAUGUGGGGAAAGGGGACCGUGCAAACACACCCCAUUUAUCACAGUUAAAAACAAAGCCCGCGCCGGCCCGCUGCUUUGUCAACCGCUGCCCGGGGCAAAGGCCUGGCGUGGGGGCAGCUUCCCACCUCAUCCUCACACACAGCACAACACCCAAGGGCCGGACGCCCCGCUCCAGCCGGACCCAAGGAGGGCACAGCAGCGCAGGUCUGACUCUCCGAGGCGCGCGCGCACACUCGCACACAUGCACACACACAUACAGACACACACACACACACACACACGCGCCCAAGCAUCUUGAACCCGUGUAUGCAACUGUCAUACAAAGACAGUUGCGGGGGGCGGGGUGAGCAGGGCAAUAGCAC